GGAUGCGAUCAUACCAGCAAUAAAGCACCGGAUCCCAUCAGAACUUCGCAGUUAAGCGUGCUUGGGCGAGAGUAGUACUAGGAUGGGUGACCCCCUGGGAAGUCCUCGUGAUGCAUCCC
rfam:Ananas comosus cultivar MD2 ACMD2_Scaffold_2952, whole genome shotgun sequence.